rnacentral:rRNA from 1 species
CACGAACGCUGGCGGCAGGCUUAACACAUGCAAGUCGAGCGCCCCGCAAGGGGAGCGGCAGACGGGUGAGUAACGCGUGGAAUCUACCCAUCUCUACGGAAUAACGCAUGGAAACGUGUGCUAAUACCGUAUACGUCCUUCGGGAGAAAGAUCUAUCGGAGAUGGAUGAGCCCGCGUUGGAUUAGCUAGUUGGUGGGGUAAAGGCCUACCAAGGCGACGAUCCAUAGCUGGUCUGAGAGGAUGAUCAGCCACACUGGGACUGAGACACGGCCCAGACUCCUACGGGAGGCAGCAGUGGGGAAUAUUGGACAAUGGGCGCAAGCCUGAUCCAGCCAUGCCGCGUGAGUGAUGAAGGCCCUAGGGUUGUAAAGCUCUUUCACCGGUGAAGAUAAUGACGGUAACCGGAGAAGAAGCCCCGGCUAACUUCGUGCCAGCCGCCGCAGUAACAC